rnacentral:rRNA from 1 species
GACGAACGCUGGCGGCGUGCUUAACACAUGCAAGUCGAACGGUAAGGCUCCAGCUUGCUGGGGUACACGAGUGGCGAACGGGUGAGUAACACGUGGGUGACCUGCCCUGCACUUCGGGAUAAGCCUGGGAAACUGGGUCUAAUACCGGAUAGGACCGCACCGUGAGGGUGUGGUGGAAAGUUUUUUCGGUGUGGGAUGGGCCCGCGGCCUAUCAGCUUGUUGGUGGGGUAAUGGCCUACCAAGGCGGCGACGGGUAGCCGGCCUGAGAGGGUGGACGGCCACAUUGGGACUGAGACACGGCCCAGACUCCUACGGGAGGCAGCAGUGGGGAAUAUUGCACAAUGGGCGGAAGCCUGAUGCAGCGACGCCGCGUGGGGGAUGACGGCCUUCGGGUUGUAAACUCCUUUCACCAUCGACGAAGGGUUUCUGACGGUAGAUGGAGAAGAAGCACCGGCUAACUACGUGCCAGCAGCCGCGGUAAUACGUAGGGUGCGAGCGUUGUCCGGAAUUACUGGGCGUAAAGAGCCCGUAGGUGGUUUGUCGCGUCGUCUGUGAAAUUCCGGGGCUUAACUCCGGGCGUGCAGGCGAUACGGGCAUAACUUGAGUACUGUAGGGGAGACUGGAAUUCCUGGUGUAGCGGUGAAAUGCGCAGAUAUCAGGAGGAACACCGGUGGCGAAGGCGGGUCUCUGGGCAGUAACUGACGCUGAGGAGCGAAAGCAUGGGGAGCGAACAGG